UAAAAACAUAGUAUUCAAUUCUAUUGUGAAAAAGUUAUCGACUUACAUUAAUUGUAUUACCUUAAGUUUAGUAACCUAGCAACUCAUAAAUAUCAUAUUUAAAUGACCUUAUUAACUUACCCUCAAGCCAUGCAAAAAGACUAUCUUGAAGUGAAUUUGAAAAAUAUGUGGACGUUUGAAUAGAGUGAAAAUAGAAAGCAAAUAUUUUGUUAGUCGAUUCCAAUUCAUUAUGAGAGGAAUCACCUUUUUUGUUUAUUUCCCAGCAUAUAUAUUAAAGCACUUUGCAGCGUUUCGUGACCACCGUUAAACAUCAUAUACAAGACCUUAUUUAAUCAAAACUAGUAAAAUCCUAACGAAAUCAAUUCCAGUACUACAAUAGUCAAAAAGAGCCAACGGCUGUGUGAGAACUCUAACCUUUAGUAGAGUACACUACUAUGACUCGCGGUGUAUUAAUCAAAAGAAUGUGAAAUCUUUUCAGCUUUCGAAAUUUAAUUAAAUAGGAUAUUUGUUCUUAUUUUUUUUAUUUUAUAGUAUUUUAAACAAAUAUAUUCCUCACAACUAAUAUAUUUAAUUUAAAAAUCGAUAUUUUAUAAAUUCAUAGAAAUAGUGAUGUUUUGAAAA